GAAUGAAACACAUGCUUACAUGGCAUCUCCCUUGCUUCUUCUUCAACUUCAAACUCUUCCAAACAAAUACAACAAUCUUUGCCACUCUCUUCCACUUUUAUCCUUUGCAUUGCUUCUAUGGAAGCUUUAGAAGCCGGCGCCGGCCCAGGUUUAUUAUCGCUGACGGCUCCAACGCCACCGAUCUGGAAAACAACGUAAACUACAGGACGAGGUUGUUGGGUCUGGGUAGGAGCUUCCGCCAUAUUAACUAGGAAAAAAGAAGUUUUUUUUUUUCCCCUUUUUUUGACCAGGAAAAACCAGAGAAACUUGAAAGAAUCUGAAGAAGAAGAAGAGAGAGAAAAUUUUGAAUUGAAUAAAAAUGAGGGGGAAAGAGGAGAUUUUUAUAGAGGGAAUCGAAAAAGGCAGAUCUGGAACAUUCGGGAACAAUGUAGAUUCCAGGAUGUUCGAUGAUUUCGUAUGAAAUUACGUAAAAUAGAUUCUAGAAGUUUCUAUUUUAUUAAUAUAUUUUAUCUGAAAUUUCUUUUGACAGAAUGUAUUUUAUAUCUUAAUUGGUAAAACAGAAAAGGUUUAUAUAUCCAAAAGUUCCUGUACUAUUUUGAAAUUUAAAAUUUAGUCCAUAUAUUUUAAUUUUUCUGUACUUUUUUUAGUUAAAAAUCUUGGUCCUUCCAUUUAAUUUUUCCAUUAAAGUUAACAGUGUUAAAAGUAAAAUAAUUCUUUUAGCUCUCAACAUUUAUAAUUUUUUUUUGUCAAUUUGGUCUUUGCCAUUUAAAAGUACAUAAAAUCUUUUAAAUUUUUUUUAUGUUUUAAUUAGAAAAACAUAAAAAUUUAAAAAAUAUAUUUUAAAAAAAUCAAGAAAAAUAAAAACUCUUUAAAUUUAAAAAAAAUAUGAAAUAUAAAAAUUCAAUGUUAUCUAAACUGGACCGAACUAGUUAAUGGGACUAAGAACUGGUUGGGGUAUCGACCCGACGAGAGAUAAUAAAACCGGUUGACUUGCAAACCAAUACAAACUAGUUGAACUAAACUAAACAAAUUAGUUGAAUCAAUUUCGAACUAGUUUGACCAAUUGGUUCUCAGGACGAUUGAUUCAAAAAAAAAACAAAUUAUGAAAAAUAAAAAUUAUAAAAAUCGAUUUAGCUGUUAGGUCAACUGGAUUUUUAGCCCGCUUAAUUAGUUUGUACCGAUUCGUGGGUCAAUCACUAUUUUACCUCUUAUUGGAUUGAUACCCUAGUUGAUUCUUGAUUCAAUUAGUCUAGUUAGGUUUAAAUAACAUUGAAUUUUGGAAUUUUUAUAAUUUUAAAAUAAUAUUUUUAAAAAUAUUUUUUUUAUUUUUUCAAUUUUCAAUUUUAUAUAGAAAUUGUAAAUUUAAAAUAUUUUGUUUAAAAUACAAAAUAAAUUUUAAUGUUUAAAAUGAUGUACUUUUAAAGGGUAUGGAAAAUUUGGUAAAAAAAAUGCAAAUGUUUAGGGUUAAAAAAAAAUUAAAAGCUUUAAAGACCGAUUCACCUGCGAACCCCAGUAAAUAUAUUUUAGAAUCUAAUAACUGCGUAAAUUUAUAGAUUGCCUUUCGAUUUUCUUAUGUAUUAGAAAAUAAGAUGAGUUUGUAAUAAAAACAUCUUUAUCGUCUUAGUUUAAAAUACGACUAUAUUAAUAAUUGCCUAAUUAAAGUGGUCCCUGGACAAUUGGAUAAUUAUGUAAAUUCUUAACAAAUGAUUUACUCAGAAUACAUCAUCUAUUUUAAUCCUACAGAUUUUUUAAUACUAUCAUACAUUACAAUUAUGAGAAUUUAACUUUUUAGAUAAUACAUUAAACUUUACUUCUGACAAUCUUACCUCAUAUAUUUAUAUCUUAAAUAAUAUAUAAGUAUAAACUUUUAAAUCGAUUAAUUAUUAUAUUAAUGAUUUUAUCAUUUUAUAUAUAUAUAUUUAUUACUUCUAAGAUUUAUCACAUUUACAAAUAAAGAAAAUAUUUUGUGAUAUUUAUAAAUAAGAUUUGUAAUUACUUUUAUUAAAUAAAUUUAUAUAAUAAAUAAAAACGUUAAAUUUUAUAGUGAGUUAUUUUACAUUUAAUUUAUUGUUUUUUAUUAUAAAAAAAAGUAAAAUAUAUAAAAUAUAUUAUUUUAGUUUGAAACAGAAAUUUUAAAUUAUUUAUAUAAAAAAUGUUAUAUUCAUAUGUAAAAUUUUAUAAUAAUACAUUUAUAUAAUCUAAUAUUAUAUUUACAUUAAUAAUAUAUAUUAUUUAUGGACUACUAUGGUCAAUUUAUCGACCAUUAAGAAAAGAAGAAGAAAUCUCCAAAAAAAAAAAAAGGAAAAGAAUAAAAAAAGACAAUUAAUAUUUUUAUCCCUUAAGAAAGUGUAGUAUUAAUUUUUAAUGUAUCUCUUUUAAGGAUUAACGGUUAAAAAAAUUUUAAUAAAAAAUAAUAAUAAUUAGGACAUGGUGAAAAAUUUGUACUCAAGUGAGUCUUUAUUGACAAAUAAAAAUAUUUAAUUUAGCCCCUCCAUUAAUAGAAAAGUUUGACUGUUAAUAAACAUUGAUGUGGCUAAUGAAAGUAAUGAGAAACUAAUACAUGACAUUCCUUGUAGAUGUAUGUAUUUUAGAAGAUAAAAUCUAAAAAAAUUAUAAAAAUGUAUGUCCAAAAUGAAUUUGGACAAUUUAUUGUCCACGUUCAUUUAAAUAUGGACAUUAAUUUAUGUAGAUUCAUUCUAGAUAUGAUUGUAACACCUCAAAUUCGGCCUAGACAUAAACACCGAAUGUUGAGGAAUUACAUUAACUUUUUUAAAAACUUCUGAUUUAAUCAAACCCAGUGUCCGUUUUGAAAAUAUAAAUUUUGGUACAACUCUCACAAAUGUUUUUAAAAAAAACUUAUGUUCGAAAACAACUAUUUUGUACCCAGAAUUUGAUUCUGAAAUCACGCAUUUUGAAAGUAUUAUCUCCGAAAAAUCAUUUUCAGUACAAAAGCAAAUGUUCGUCUUAAACUAUUUUUUAUUUACAAAAAAGAAUUCUUAAACAAUUACUUAAUUUUGUGACAGAAAACUUCCAGAGGUUUAGUUGAAAAUUGAGUUUCAAUUUGUUAAGCUUGAAUGAUGUCGCGGUUUAAUGUUAAAAUGCCGAAAACCGAAAAAUGAAACACAAACCAAAAACUUAGCCAACACAGAAUUACAGUCCCAAAAGUCCAAAAUAGUUAAUCACGAAAACCACCUUAUUUUAAUUAACUGAGAAAUAGUGUGAGUUCCCGUAAUCCAUCCAACUUUAAACUUAUUAAUUACCUGAAAAGUUAGAAAUAAAAUAAAUGGGUGAGCUGUAAAACCCAGUGUAUAAUGAAAUUCAAACAUAUAACACAUAUCACAAUAUACGAAUCUGAUUAUCACAAAGAAUUUCAUUACGAACAAUUAAGUAGAAUUGAUAAUGCAUGAUUAUAUUAAUGCAAUAUUUUUCAAAAAUCAUAAUGUAGAAUUUUUAGAAAACUUUCUACCCAAUCAAAUCACACCAACAGAUAGUUGUGGACAUUGCCACCAGAAUUGUAGUUAAAACUGCCAAAUCAAAUAUUUGUGGUCAAGCCAUUAUAUCGCAACCAAGCUACCAGGAUAGAAGUAUGUGGUUAAACCACCAAAUAGUGCAAAUCAUUAAACUGUCAGAAACUUCCUUCAUACCAUAUUAUCCAAACCCCAUGCAAUGUGACAUGGCAUGCAAACACAAAAACAAAAUGAUAAGCAUGUUAAACACGCAUUCAUAUCUUUAACAGAAACCAGUAAGCAUGCGAUUACAUGCUUUGCAAACAGAUAUAUCGCAAACCCAAUAGAACCAAAUUAGUUUUGCCAUAACGUCACAUGCACGGUCAUAUAGCAGAUUUAGAGAAAUACAAAAUAUCAUAUCCAGACAUCAUUUCCUCAUAAACAAACCUAGCAGAAUAGAUACAUGCCAUCAGAAUUAACAGUAGUCAGAUCAUGCGUACUUAAUUCACAUACCUUAAUCAUAUCACCUACGGUAGCAUAUCAACAAAUAUAAUGUUUUCACGUCUUAUUUAUGCAAUAUGGACCUUACGGAGAGUCUAAAUAAUAUUACGGGUCAAAACGGGCCUAGCUGAAAAUUUUUAAAAAAUGGGUCCACAUGCCCGUGUGGCUUACACGGCCCAAUUAACCCAGCCUAUGUGACACACACCGUCUGGCAUACAGUCGUGUGACAUCGACAGAAUACAUUUCGACUUUUUUCCAUUCGUUGUUUUUUUCGAGUUUUCAGUUACACACUUGAACAUUUCUGAAAUACGACAUUACGACACACUUCCAAACCCUAAAAUCAUCGUUUAAGACGGACUAAUUAGCAACAAAAUAUGAAUUCAAAUCACUAAUUUGGCCACGAACGAAUAAACAUUCGACCUUAACACCAAGAAAUAACCCAUUGGGCACUUGAUCACUUACCUAAACAAUAACGACAAUCCUAAAACAAACCUCCUAUCUUACCAUAAAAAAUGACAUGCGACAUGCGAGCUUCUCCUAACAGUAUACCAAAACCAUCAAUUAGAUCAAAACUCACAAACAUACACACACUUCCACAUGAACAAGAACAACAACACUUUCUAAUAGUAAACAAAAAACUACUUACGAAGAAAAAAAUACCAUACUAAGCAGAAGCAUCUUAAUCACAAACGUCUAGAAAUGAAAAAGAUAAAAGGUACAAUGAUACAACAAAGGCAAGGCAAGUAACAAAAGGAAAAGAAAAUGAGAGAAAAGAAAAACGUUAGAAAGAAAAAAAAAACAGAAAGAAUAGGGAGUUUGGGAGUUAAAGCUAUUAAUUAUCCCACAUCCCACAUCCCCAAUAACUCCCACUAAAACUAUUAAUUAUCCCUAUCAGAUUUCCCCAGAGUUAAAGCAAAAAUAAUUUUAACUUUGCACACACAAGACUCAAACAAAACCUUUAGGUAAGCUAAAGCCUUACCACUAAACUAAUAAGUUCAUUCUUGUUAUCAAAUAAGCAAAAAUGAUUUAUAAAUCAGAUGUCCAAAGAUAGGAGUUUAGGCAAAAAUAACAAAAAAAAUUAAUGAAAAUAAUUCGAACUUAAAACCUCUCAUACACAAACACAACACUUAACCACUGAAUCAAAUUAUCUUUCUUGGCAUAAUUUUCAAAAAUUUAACUAAAAAGCCAAACGUAAUCACUCAUGAUUUCACAAACUCAAUUUCUUCUAAUUCGAUUUUUAUGGUGCGACAAUAAUUUUUUAAACAUUUAAAAAGAUUUAGUGAUUAUAAACUAUUAUUAAAAAUUCUAAAAAAUAUAUUAAAAGGUCAUUGUUGAUGGUUGUGGUGUGAUGAUUAACAGCUCACUUGGUUGCAAGACGGAGAGUCGGUGAUGGUUAGAAGAUAUUUUUGGGCUUAAUUGGUAUAGAAAAGGAGUAAGAAUAAAAGACAAAAGAAGGAUGAUGAUGAUGAGAGGGAGACUCCCUUUUUGGAUGGGUGUUGGCUUAUAAACUUAGAUCUUAGAGUGCCACAUAUCAUUCGACUAUAGAUGAUUAAAAGGGGUAAAGUCAAUUGGUUUGAUAGGGUAGUUCUCAAAAAGAGAAAUUCCCGAGAAGUAUUCUCAAGGUGUAAGGUACAACAAUCAUAAAACUCGUAAAAUAAUUAUAAAAAAAAUGACUAGUGGAUCAUACUUGUAUGCUUUUCUUCUACUUGUUUCAUUUCAAUCCACUAUGAUCUAAAUAUGAUUUUUUUAUUUUUUAUUAGUUUAAUUUUUUAAUUCAUAUUCACAUAAUAACAAACAAACACCAAUAUAAAUAUAUAUUAACUUAGAUGAUAAAUACAAAUUCAAAUAGCAACUUGAUCCAAAAAAAUAAAUUAAUUACCAAUUAAGUAUUUUUAUACAAAAUGAAGAAGCAAACUAAAUAAAUUAAUAAAUAAUUUUUUUUUACUUAUUUCCAAUUUAGUUGGUUUAAAACAAAUAAUAUUUCUUUAGUUACAACUCAGAACAAAAAUUGGUGUCAAUUGCAAUCUGUGUUUUGAUGGGAAGGCGUAUCAUCAUCAACUCGACCCGAAUUAGGUUGACGGGAAGCCCGACCCGAACCCAUCAUACCCAUCAUGCUAGCCAAGCUAGCAAAUGCAAAAACCGAUUGUGAAAAUUCCAAACCAUUGAUCUCUCCACCCUCCAUUCUUCGCCGGCCACCAUCACCCUCACCACCUUCUAUUUCAGCCGUCUCAGGCGGCAUCAUGAAGCGACAAACCGGGCAUAACCCAUGGAUCAACAACCACUUCUCAAUACAACCCGAAUGAAACACAUGCUUACAUGGCAUCUCCCUUGCUUCUUCUUCAACUUCAAACUCUUCCAAACAAAUACAACAAUCUUUGCCACUCUCUUCCACUUUUAUCCUUUGCAUUGCUUCUAUGGAAGCUUUAGAAGCCGGCGCCGGCCCAGGUUUAUUAUCGCUGACGGCUCCAACGCCACCGAUCUGGAAAACAACGUAAACUACAGGACGAGGUUGUUGGGUCUGGGUAGGAGCUUCCGCCAUAUUAACUAGGAAAAAAGAAGUUUUUUUUCCCCUUUUUUUGACCAGGAAAAAUCAGAGAAACUUGAAAGAAUCUGAAGAAGAAGAAGAGAG
rnacentral:lncRNA from 1 species